CACAACACUCAUUCUCUAUCUCUCUCUCACACACUCACACUCAAACACGCCAAACACCAUUUUUAGCUUGGACGGAGGUUUCAAGCUCCGAUUUGAGCACCGAGACGAGCGCCGAUCAUCUUUUCGAUCACGUAUCUAAGUAGGUCAUUUUGGGAAGUAACGACUUGAGGGAGAGAGUGACGUUACUCAUUGAUACAGAGACACAACGAGGUUGAGCUGAUGUGAUGAUGGUGCUGCAAUGAACGGAGUCUCCAGGGUUGUUAAUAAAUAGUUAACCUGUCUAGAAUAUGUCUUCAUACAUAUGUCUAGCUACUUUCCGCUGCAAGAUGUUGUUGAUGUUAUAGUAUGUUAUGUCAUACUUUGAGUCUUAAGAGAAUGGUUGCAUAUGAUGUAUAACUUGAUUAAUGAUAUUAAUUAACUUUUAUGCAGUCUUUCAUAGACUGUUUUCAAUUGAGUAUUAAUGAAUAAAAAUGACGAGUUUUAUUAA